rnacentral:tRNA from 1 species
UGCUCCGGUAGUUCAAUGGCCAGAACGCCGGGCUUUCAACUCGGAAAACCGGGUUCGAUUCCCGGUCGGAGCAU